GGUUGCGAUCAUACCAGCACUAAUGCACCGGAUCCCAUCAGAACUCCGCAGUUAAGCUUGCUUGGGCGAGAGUAGUACUAGGAUGGGUGACCCCCUGGGAAGUCCUCGUGUUGCAACCC
rnacentral:rRNA from 1 species